CCCUUAGAUGGGCCUUGAAAAAUGUUCGGCCCAUUUAAAAAAUCAGGGCCUUAUCCAAAUUUAAGUUUUAAAGGGAAAGCCGAAACCCUAGCUAUAUAAGAUGGAAGUGGAGUGCUCGAGUAACAACAAAGCGGAGGAGAAUCUGAUUUCGGCGACUUGACGAUGAGGGCGAAGUGGAAGAAGAAGCGCAUGAGGAGACUGAAGAGGAAGCGCAGAAAGAUGAGACAGCGAUCCAAGUAGUCUUGUGUUUCAAAUCCAUGAAUCUCUGUCGUUCCUUUCUAGUUUCGUUCUUGAACCCUUUUUAUGCUUUGUGUUUUUUUACAUUUGAAGUUGGAACAAUGGUGUGUAGAAACAUGCUUUGCUCACUACCUUUUAUCAUCUAUCUAUAAAGCAGAGGUUUAUUA